CGUAGGGUGCGAGCGUUGUCCGGAAUUAUUGGGCGUAAAGGGCUCGUAGGCGGUUUGUCGCGUCGGGAGUGAAACCCAGGGCUUAACCCUGGGCUGGCUUCCGAUACGGGCAGACUAGAGGUAUGCAGGGGAGAACGGAAUUCCUGGUGUAGCGGUGAAAUGCGCAGAUAUCAGGAGGAACACCGGUGGCGAAGGCGGUUCUCUGGGCAUUACCUGACGCUGAGGAGCGAAAGUGUGGGGAGCGAACAGGAUU
rnacentral:rRNA from 1 species